GAAAACACAUGCAUAUAGAUAAAACACCAGCAAAUAGAGAAAACAUCUUCAUCAGUUUGACAACACAUACGCUGCAAAUAUCGCAACACAUCCAAAUACAGAAAUGCGUUGCAAAUUCUUACAACACGAACAAAAACAGAAACGCGUUCCAAAUCUCACAACACAACAAUAGCAGAAACGCGUUCCAAAUCUCACAACACAACAAUAGCAGAAACGCGUUCCAAAUCUCACAACACAACGGAAGUGUUUCAGGGGGGUCACAAAAAGUGAUGCACCGGUCUGAGAAGUGUUUUCGGUUUACAUUCCAUUCGUCCGUGGAACUUUUGUGAGUUUACAUCGAUCAAAUGAAAGCUAAAGGACCUGUUAUUACAUUGAGAGCAUCCCGACCAGAUGCAUAGUGUGAUAUGGUAGCAUGAUAGAAAUGAACUGCCAGAGCCUGUAGAGAGGGAUAAAGUCUACUGUGAGGAACACCACUGCCUUCCUGCAGGUCUACCAGUACAGAAAGGAGCCGGUUCCAUUGUUAAAAUGCCCACUUAAACCAAACUGUUUCCACCUACAUCCUCUGGCAAUACAUACAGAAGUGUAAGCUACAGGACGUAAAGAUUGAGGAACAGUUUUAUCCAGCAGCCAUCAGUGUUCAAUAUGUCAAAAACAUUAAUUGACCCCAAUAUCAAUGUCAUUAUUUUAAUCUCUACACAAACAUUACUUCAAUACUGCAGGUUUUGAUACACAUAAUCAUAGCCUAGUGGUUAGAGGGUUGGACUUGUAACCCGAAAGUUGCCAGUUCGACUUUCCGUCUCUGCCGGCAGGUUGCAACUGUGAUGUCCUUGAACAAGGCACCUUAAACCCAAUUGCUCCCCGGGCACUGAAGGAAUAGCUUCCCACUGCUCCAUGUGUGUUCACCACUUACUGGGAUGGGUUAAAUGCAGAGGUCACAUUUUGAGUAUGCGCUGCAUACUUGGCAAGCAUGUCACACUUACACUGCACAGACAACAUAUAUUGUCUUUAUAUCUAUCUAUAUAUGUAUAUGUACACACUUUAUUAUUUUAAUGACAAUCACAGUUUAAUGUAAUGUGGCAAUAAAAAGGAAGAAUGUCAUUGUACAGGUAUCUAUACAUAUGAAAAUAAAGGCUUUAAACUUCAAA